GGAAUAUUGGACAAUGGGCGCAAGCCUGAUCCAGCCAUGCCGCGUGAGUGAUGAAGGCCUUAGGGUUGUAAAGCUCUUUCACCGAUGAAGAUAAUGACGGUAGUCGGAGAAGAAGCCCCGGCUAACUUCGUGCCAGCAGCCGCGGUAAUACGAAGGGGGCUAGCGUUGUUCGGAAUUACUGGGCGUAAAGCGCACGUAGGCGGAUAUUUAAGUCAGGGGUGAAAUCCCGCAGCUCAACUGCGGAACUGCCUUUGAUACUGGGUAUCUUGAGUAUGGAAGAGGUAAGUGGAAUUCCGAGUGUAGAGGUGAAAUUCGUAGAUAUUCGGAGGAACACCAGUGGCGAAGGCGGCUUACUGGUCCAUUACUGACGCUGAGGUGCGAAAGCGUGGGGAGCAAACA
rnacentral:rRNA from 1 species